CUUCACCGAGCCGAGCCACAGGGGGCGGUCCUCGGGGCGCGCGGCGCCGUAGGUGGCCAGCAGCGCCUCGGCCUC
rnacentral:antisense_RNA from 1 species